UAGGCUAACUUUGCAAAAAUUAUGUUGGGCCCUCGUGGCUCAGUGGUAGAGUGAUGAACUUUAAGAUUGGUGUGAGGGAAGCAUGGGUUCGAACCCCACUCGGAACUUACAAAAAACUUCAAAGAGCAUCCACUGCAUCAUCAUGUGUGCUUAAAAACACACAACACGGUGAUGGAGCUGCCCAGGGGAGUAGGGGAGGUGAGUGCGCAGCACCUCCCCAACCUUCCCAGGAGAGCAGGGGAGGUGUGUGCACAGCACCUCCCUAGCUUCCCCACCUUUGUCCCACCCCUUGUCCCACCAUAAAAAGUAGAUUCACUGACCACCAAUUUGAUUCCUUCAGCAACAUGAGGAUACACCAGACUUCCUUGAUUAUUUACCCAUACCAUACUUAUCAUGCUUAUCCCAUACCUUGUCUCACCUACAGGAGGAGCAGCGGGAACAUCAUGAGCAGCAGGAGCGACAGAAACAUCAGGCACAGCAGGAAUAUUAGGAGCAACAGGAAUAUCAGUAGCAGCAGGAGCAGCAGGAACAAAAGGAACAUCAGGACUAGCAGGAGCAGCAGGAACAUCAGGAGCAGCAGGAAAACCAGGAGCAGCAGGAACAUCAGGAGAAACAGGAACAUCCACAGGUGAGUGCACAACACCUCCCUACCCUUCCCAGACUUAUCCCAUCCCUUGUUUCAUCCACAGCCAGAACAUCAGAAGCAGCAGGAGCAGCAGGUACAAAAGGAGCAUCAGGAGCAGCAGGUGAGUGCACAACUCCUCCCUACCCUUCCCAUCCCUUGUCUCACCCACAGCAGGUACAGCAGGAACAUCAGGAGCACCAGGAACAGCAGGACCAGCGGAUACAGCAAGAAAAUUAGGAGCAGUAAGAACGUCAGGUGCAGCAGGAAAAUCAAGACCAAUCAAUAGGAGCAGCAGGUGAGUGCAUAAAACAUUUCUCUUCCAUUGCUUAUCAUAUCCCUAGUCUCACCCACAGCAGGAAAAGCAGAAACA